GCUUACGGCCACACCGCCCUGGUUCACGCCCGAUCUCGUUUGAUCUCGGAAGCUAAGAUAGGUUGGGCCUGGUUAGUACUUGGAUGGGAGACCGCCUGGGAAUACCAGGUGCUGUAAGCU
rnacentral:rRNA from 1 species